rnacentral:rRNA from 2 species
GGAUAACUCCGGGAAACCGGGGCUAAUACCGGAUGCUUAUUUGAACCGCAUGGUUCAAAUAUAAAAGGUGGCUUCGGCUACCACUUACAGAUGGACCCGCGGCGCAUUAGCUAGUUGGUGAGGUAACGGCUCACCAAGGCAACGAUGCGUAGCCGACCUGAGAGGGUGAUCGGCCACACUGGGACUGAGACACGGCCCAGACUCCUACGGGAGGCAGCAGUAGGGAAUCUUCCGCAAUGGACGAAAGUCUGACGGAGCAACGCCGCGUGAGUGAUGAAGGUUUUCGGAUCGUAAAGCUCUGUUGUUAGGGAAGAACAAGUACCGUUCGAAUAGGGCGGUACCUUGACGGUACCUAACCAGAAAGCCACGGCUAACUACGUGCCAGCAGCCGCGGUAAUACGUAGGUGGCAAGCGUUGUCCGGAAUUAUUGGGCGUAAAGGGCUCGCAGGCGGUUUCUUAAGUCUGAUGUGAAAGCCCCCGGCUCAACCGGGGAGGGUCAUUGGAAACUGGGGAACUUGAGUGCAGAAGAGGAGAGUGGAAUUCCACGUGUAGCGGUGAAAUGCGUAGAGAUGUGGAGGAACACCAGUGGCGAAGGCGACUCUCUGGUCUGUAACUGACGCUGAGGAGCGAAAGCGUGGGGAGCGAACAGGAUUAGAUACCCUGGUAGUCCACGCCGUAAACGAUGAGUGCUAAGUGUUAGGGGGUUUCCGCCCCUUAGUGCUGCAGCUAACGCAUUAAGCACUCCGCCUGGGGAGUACGGUCGCAAGACUGAAACUCAAAGGAAUUGACGGGGGCCCGCACAAGCGGUGGAGCAUGUGGUUUAAUUCGAAGCAACGCGAAGAACCUUACCAGGUCUUGACAUCCUCUGACAAUCCUAGAGAUAGGACGUCCCCUUCGGGGGCAGAGUGACAGGUGGUGCAUGGUUGUCGUCAGCUCGUGUCGUGAGAUGUUGGGUUAAGUCCCGCAACGAGCGCAACCCUUGAUCUUAGUUGCCAGCAUUCAGUUGGGCACUCUAAGGUGACUGCCGGUGACAAACCGGAGGAAGGUGGGGAUGACGUCAAAUCAUCAUGCCCCUUAUGACCUGGGCUACACACGUGCUACAAUGGACAGAACAAAGGGCAGCGAAACCGCGAGGUUAAGCCAAUCCCACAAAUCUGUUCUCAGUUCG